rnacentral:rRNA from 1 species
CAAUAGCGUAUAUUUAAGUUGCUGCAGUUAAAAAGCUCGUAGUUGGAUUUCGGGUGGGAAUGGCCGGUCCGCCGUUUCGGUGUGCACUUGCUACGCCCACCUUGCUGCCGGGGACGUGCUCUUGAGUUCACGCUCGGGACACGGAGUCGGCGAGGUUACUUUGAGUAGAUUAGAGUGUUCAAAGCAGGCCUACGCUCUGAAUACAUUAGCAUGGAAUAACACGAUAGGACUCUGGCCUAUCUUGUUGGUCUGUAGGACCGGAGUAAUGAUUAAGAGGGACAGCCGGGGGCAUUCGUAUUUCAUUGUCAGAGGUGAAAUUCUUGGAUUUAUGAAAGACGAACUACUGCGAAAGCAUUUGCCAAGGAUGUUUUCAUUAA